rnacentral:rRNA from 1 species
GAUGAACGCUGACAGAAUGCUUAACACAUGCAAGUCUUUGGCGAAGCUGUGCUUGCACAGCCUAGCCAAGGCGGACGGGUGAGUAACGCGUAAGGAACUUGCCCUGCAGUCAGGGAUAACAGACGGAAACGACUGAUAAGACCUGGUAAAGUCAGGCGGACUCAUGUCCAGCCUGAUGAAAAGAGAUGCUGCAGGAGAGCCUUGCGUCCUAUUAGCUUGUUGGUGGGGUAACGGCCCACCAAGGCGAUGAUAGGUAGCCGGCCUGAGAGGGUGGACGGCCACAAGGGGACUGAGAUACGGCCCUUACUCCUACGGGAGGCAGCAGUGGGGAAUAUUGGACAAUGGGGGCAACCCUGAUCAAGCAAUUCUGUGUGCACGAUGAAGGUUUUCGGAUUGUAAAGUGCUUUCAGAAGGGAAGAAAAAAAUGACGGUACCUGCAGAAGAAGCGACGGCUAAAUACGUG